rnacentral:rRNA from 1 species
UACGUAGGGGGCUAGCGUUGUCCGGAUUUAUUGGGCGUAAAGAGCUCGUAGGUGGUUUGUCGCGUUGUUCGUGAAAACUCACAGCUCAACUGUGGGCGUGCGGGCGAUACGGGCAGACUUGAGUACUGCAGGGGAGACUGGAAUUCCUGGUGUAGCGGUGAAAUGCGCAGAUAUCAGGAGGAACACCGAUGGCGAAGGCAGGUCUCUGGGCAUUAACUGACGCUGAGGAGCGAAAGCAUGGGGAGCGAACAGG